UAAAAAGGAUAGUUUUAUCACUUUUUAAACCAAUCAAUUUUAUACAAAGGAUAGUUUUAUCACUUUUUAAACCAAUCAAUUUUAUACACUUCAAACCCUCCUUAUCUUUCCAAUUUUUAUACACUUCUCACCCUCUCAACUCUACUAUAUCUUUUCUAUCUUCUCCUCUUUUCCUUUCCCCUGAAACCCUAUCAAUGUCGCCGCCAACAACUUCUCUCUCUCAAAAACUCUCGCGUUCCAGAACAGGAGAAGGUGGAAACCUUAAACCCCUCAAAAUCAUCUCAAUAAUGCAAAGAUGCUGCCAUGUGAGGCUUCAGUUUUUGUCCAGUCUCAUGUUCGUGCACAUGUAG